CCUUGCUUCUAGUCAUGUUGAUGAUGAUUGCUUUUGUGUCAUUGUGGCUAUUCAUAGCUACAUUAAAUGAAACUGAUAUACUUAAGACAUGAUGUCUAAUGGCAGUUUGCAGUGUCUAUAGGGUGAUAUAUGUGGUGGAAAGUUGGUAUUCCUUCAUUUUUAUAGGCUAAUGUUCUACACAUUCGAGAAAUGGUUUAUGAAGUUUUGAAUGUUUGAGUAAAUAUAUUUGAUUGGGUUAGCCGUUUACGUUUGGAUGAGUUAUCAUAAAAUUAGCUGGAGCUGCCUAGGAGGUAAAUUUAUCUUAUUCAGAUCUAUUUAUUAUUUAAAAUAAAACUGCUAAAGUUUACCAAACAUAUUUGUCCAUAGUAAGCAUAUAUAUUGAACCUUUUAAUCUAUGUUAAUAGGACACGGCUAAAAUCACGAAGUGUCUGACACGACACGACACGACAUGUAGGGCUGGCAAAAACUGACCCGAUCCGAACCCGAUCUGAAAAAAGCGGGUUAGGGUUGAGAUUUCUGACCCGAAAACUUAAAUGGGUUGACACGAACCUGAACCCGAAAUUAAAUGGGUUAGGUUAAGGUUGAAAAUCUCAACCCGAAAACGACCCACUUAACCCGAAAUAAAUUUCAGGUCAUAAUCAGGUCGGGUCAACCCGAACCCGACCUGAUAACCCGAAUUAGUUUAAGUUUUAAAAAAAAAACGUAAAAAGCUUUUAUUAGCCCAGCCCAAAUGCACAAAGAGGCUUCCUAUAUAAAUUCAAAACCCUAAAAUAAUCUCAUUUCCCCUCACCUCUUCAGCCGUUUUUCCCCUCACUUCUCUCUCUUUAAUUUUCUCUCUCCUCAAAAACUCAUUAUAUUGUUAAAUUUUCUCUUUAAUUUCCUUCGGCCAUUUACCAUUGUCAAUUUGUCAUCUCCUUCACGGCUUGACUCCUUCACUCCUCCACAAGACGCGUUCCUUAAUUCUUCUCCUUCAUCAAUCAAGGUUUGGCAGCAAGAAGUAAUCACCCAUGUUCAAUUGGAAAUGUUGUAGAUCAAUUUUAAAGCUUGAGGUGGUGAACAAGGAUGACAACCAUGAUAGAUUGACAGUCUCAACAUCGCCCGAUCUUAAUCCAAAUGAAAAUCUUAUUGCAUCUUCUAUUAUUUUUGAGAACUGUAAUUUGUGUUAAAAAAACUUUUGUCUUUUGAAACUUGGUUUGUAAUUAGUGAAUUGUACUUUUUAUCGGUUUAUAAUCGUUAAUUAGGAUUGUUACUUUGUUA